CUGCUGCCUUCCGUAGGAGUCUGGGCCGUGUCUCAGUCCCAGUGUGGCCGUCCGCCCUCUCAGGCCGGCUACUGAUCGUCGCUUUGGUAGGCCGUUACCCUGCCAACUGGCUAAUCAGACGCGGGCCCAUCCUGUACCACCGGAGUUUUCAGGGAAAAGCCAUGCGGCUUCCCCCGUUAUGCGGUAUUAGCACCUAUUUCUAAGUGUUAUCCCCCUGUACAGGCCAGGUUGCCCACGCGUUACUCACCCGUCGCACUCAUG
rnacentral:rRNA from 1 species